CAAUAGCGUAUAUUAAAGUUGUUGCAGUUAAAAAGCUCGUAGUUGGAUUUCUGGUGGGAGCGAUCGGUCUGGCGCUUAGCGCGAGUACUUGCAUCGUCUCCGGCCAUCCUUGGGGAGAGUCUGUCUGGCAUUAGGUUGUCGGGCAGAGGAUCCUCAUCGUUUACUGUGAAAAAAUUAGAGUGUUCAAAGCAGGCUUAUGGCGUUGAAUAUAUUAGCAUGGAAUAAUAAGAUAGGACUUUGGUACUAUUUUGUUGGUUUGCGCACCAAAGUAAUGAUUAAUAGGGACAGUUGGGGGUAUUCGUAUUCCGUUGUCAGAGGUGAAAUUCUUGGAUUUACGGAAGACGAACUACUGCGAAAGCAUUUACCAAGGAUGUUUNCAUUAA
rnacentral:rRNA from 1 species